ACGGGGAGCAGCAGGCGCGAAACCUUUACACUGCACGCCAGUGCGAUAAGGGGACCCCGAGUGCGAGGGCAUACAGUCCUCGCUUUUCGUGACCGUAAGAAGGUCUCAGAAUAAGUGCUGGGCAAGACCGGUGCCAGCCGCCGCGGUAAUACCGGCAGCACGAGUGAUAGCCACUAUUAUUGGGCCUAAAGCGUCCGUAGCCGGCUACACAGGUCCGUCGGGAAAUCCACCCGCUCAACGGGUGGGCGUCCGGCGGAAACCAGGUAGCUUGGGGCCGGAAGACCAGAGGGGUACGUCCGGGGUAGGAGUGAAAUCCCGUAAUCCUGGACGGACCACCGGUUGCGAAAGCGCCUCUGGAGAACGGACCCGACGGUGAGGGACGAAAGCUAGGGUCUCGAACCGGAUUAGAUACCCGGGUAGUCCUAGCUGUAAACGAUGCUCGCUAGGUGCGGCGCAGGCUACGAGCUUGCGCUGUGCCGUAGGGAAGCCGAGAAGCGAGCCGCCUGGGAAGUACGUCCGCAAGGAUGAAACUUAAAGGAAUUGGCGGGGGAGCAC
rnacentral:rRNA from 1 species